UGGCUCAGUAGCUCAGUUGGUAGAGCAAUGGACUGAAAAUCCAUGUGUCGGCGGUUCGAUUCCGUCCUGAGCCAUC
rnacentral:tRNA from 1 species